rnacentral:rRNA from 1 species
CCUACGGGUGGCAGCAGUGAGGAAUAUUGGUCAAUGGGCGCGAGCCUGAACCAGCCAAGUAGCGUGAAGGAUGACUGCCCUACGGGUUGUAAACUUCUUUUAUAAAGGAAUAAAGUGCGUCACGUGUGCCUUUUUGUAUGUACUUUAUGAAUAAGGAUCGGCUAACUCCGUGCCAGCAGCCGCGGUAAGACGGAGGUUCCGAGCGUUAUCCGGAUUUAUUGGGGUUAAAGGGAGCGUAGAUGGGUUGUUAAGUCAGUUGUGAAAGUUUGGGGCUCAACCUGAAAAUUGCAAUGGGUACUGGCAGUCUUGAGUACAGUUGAGGUAGGCGGAAUUCGUGGUGUAGCGGUGAAAUGCUUAGAUAUGACGAAGAACUCCGAUUGCGAAGGCAGCUUACUAAAGUGCAACUGACAUUGAUGCUCGAAAGUGUGGGUAUCAAACAGGAUUAGAUACCCGGGUAGUC